CAUUUCUUAGUUCAAUAUUUAUAUACUGUGGCAAAAACAAAGAAAUACGGUAUAUCAAAAAUUAUUCAUCCUUAUUCAGAACCUGGACACAGUUUCCUACUAUGUGAUAGAAACUUUGGUCUCCUUGAAAAACAAAAGAAGCUUCAGGAGUCUUUUUACCUGUUACAUAUCAAAAUAUUGUUUCUAAAACAUGUAGACAAUUUUGUGUGAUAAAUGUUACUCAGGAUAUUAUUUUAAACUACUCUAAUCAUUUAAAACAAAAAUUCAAAGCACAAAGUAAAUUGGCCUUAAUGAUGUAUAGAUUUAUUCUUUAGGAAGACUAUUAGUCAGUACAGUAGCAAAUACUGAUUUAACAGGGAACCAUAUAAUUUUACAAAAACCUUCAGUUACACUUGAUUUAUCAGAUCCAACCUUCAAACUCUAUAACAAAAUAUUGCCUUUAAAACCAGCCAAACUGAAAGAUGUUCAAGAUAUAGUCUCAAAAUAAGUACCACCUGACUGUCUUAGUUUUU